rnacentral:rRNA from 1 species
AGCGAACGCUGGCGGCAGGCCUAACACAUGCAAGUCGAACGAACUCUUCGGAGUUAGUGGCGGACGGGUGAGUAAGACGUGGGAACGUGCAUUUUGGUUCGGAAUAACUAAGGGAAACUUGUGCUAAUACCGAAUGUGCCCUUCGGGGGAAAGAUUUAUCGCGAUUAGAGCGGCCCGCGUCUGAUUAGCUGGUUGGUGAGGUAAUGGCUCACCAAGGCGACGAUCAGUAGCUGGUCUGAGAGGAUGACCAGCAACACUGGGACUGAGACACGGCCCAGACUCCUACGGGAUGCAGCAGUGGGGAAUCGUGCGCAAUGGCGGAAAUCCUGACGCAGCCAUGCCGCGUGAAUGAUGAAGGUCUUAGGAUAGUAAAAUUCUUUCACCGGGGACGAUAAUGACGGUACCCGGAGAAGAAGCCCCGGCUAACUUCGUG